rnacentral:rRNA from 1 species
UACGGAGGGGGCUAGCGUUGUUCGGAAUUACUGGGCGUAAAGGGCGCGUAGGCGGCCCGUCAAGUCAGGCGUGAAAGUCCCGGGCUCAACCCGGGGACGGCGCUUGAGACUGGCGGGCUCGAGUCCGGGAGAGGAUGGCGGAAUUCCCAGUGUAGAGGUGAAAUUCGUAGAUAUUGGGAAGAACACCGGUGGCGAAGGCGGCCAUCUGGACCGGCACUGACGCUGAGGCGCGAAAGCGUGGGGAGCAAAC